UCCUACACCAGGUACAGCAGCACCUGAUGCC
rnacentral:piRNA from 1 species